AUACGGGAGGCAGCAGUAAGGAAUAUUGGGCAAUGGACGCAAGUCUGACCCAGCCAUGCCGCGUGAAGGAUGACGGCCCUAUGGGUUGUAAACUUCUUUUGUACGGGAAAAAACCCCUGGUCGUGUACCGGGGCUGAUGGUACCGUAAGAAUAAGCAUCGGCUAACUCCGUGCCAGCAGCCGCGGUAAUACGGAGGAUGCAAGCGUUAUCCGGAUUCAUUGGGUUUAAAGGGUGCGUAGGCGGGAUAAUAAGUCAGUGGUGAAAUCCUGCAGCUUAACUGCAGAACUGCCAUUGAUACUGUUAACCUUGAGUACAUUUGAAGUGGGCGGAAUGUGUCAUGUAGCGGUGAAAUGCUUAGAUAUGACACAGAACUCCGAUAGCGAAGGCAGCUCACUAAACUGUAACUGACGCUGAGGCACGAAAGCGUGGGGAUCAAACAGGAUUAGAUACCCCGGU
rnacentral:rRNA from 1 species